UACGAAGGGUGCAAGCGUUACUCGGAAUUACUGGGCGUAAAGCGUGCGUAGACGGUUACAUAAGUCGGGUGUGAAAGCCCUGGGCUCAACCUGGGAAUUGCAUUCGAGACUGCGUAGCUAGGGUGCGGAAGAGGGAAGCGGAAUUUCCGGUGUAGCAGUGAAAUGCGUAGAUAUGUGGAGGAAUACCGAUGGCGAAGGCAGCCUCCUGGGCCCAACACUGACGCUCAUGCACGAAAGCGUGGGGAGCAAACAGG
rnacentral:rRNA from 1 species